ensembl:ncRNA lncRNA:CR45225 long non-coding RNA:CR45225
AUCGGAGAUAUUGUAGUUGAAAAAAACCCAGAUCUUCAUAACGAUGAUGGGCACCCAGCACAGGAAGUCGGUCAGCACGAUGAAAAAGAAUCGCACAGCGAAUUCGCAAUCCAACAGAGUGAGCGGAGUGGCGCUCCUCGUUCGCCAUAUCGAAAUAAGGAGUGCCGUGUAGAGCAUCGCAAUCAUCACCAGCAGCAGCAGAUUGACGCCCAGGAACACGAAAGCCGAGUAAAGCCAGCCCAUCGGGAAGGCCUCGUGGAUGUGCAAUGGAAAGCCUGUUCCGGAAUAGGAUCCGUAGUAGGGUAGGGUACUGGUCCGCCACAGGAGCACCGGUGCCACAGCCAAGCCCACGCCCGUAAUCCAAAUGCAAAUCAAAGCCAGCCACAUCACCCGAUUUCCAAUGCUGCGAUGGCCGCGAAAGGGAUCGGCGAUCAAGAGAAACCGCUCCAGCGACAUAAAAGCCAGGAUAAGCAUCGAAACCUCCGAGGAGCUCACGGCCAGCGUUCCAAUCAGUGUGCACUGCCACGAGGUUAUCCAGUCCAGCACAACCCUAAAAGAUUGGGGCGUAACAAAUGCCAAUCCAUCACAUUUGACUUACUUGUAAUACUCGUUGCGGUAGCGAUAGUCCUGCACUCCAAUGGUGACCAAAUAGAAGCCCAUCAGCAUAUCAGCCAGAGCCAGAUUCCGAAUCACCAUUGUCACAGCCACAUUCUCAUCGCGGUAGAUAAAGCGUCCCCAUAGGACUAGCACAUUUCCAGCUAUUGUCAACGUGGCCAUCACCCAGGCGGAGUAACGUAACACUGGUUUGCUCAGAAGAUCUUGAAAGGAGCUGACUCCAUCGGUGGACGGCUUGCACAUUCUCACCCGCGGCGUCAUUGAGCAGUAGAAGAAUCGAUCGUAGAUGAUGUACGUCAGGUUGCGCAUUGAAUUGAUGGCCUCGAAG